rnacentral:lncRNA from 1 species
AUCAACCAAAAUUCACAACAACAAAAUUGACGGCCAUACCUAAUUAACAAGGCAAGCACUCAUCUAUUGCAUGUGAUGUUCUGUCUUGCUAAGAUCUGCAAACUCUGCCCAGGAUAAAUGCAUGUGAAAAAUACUCUUCUUUAAAAUUUUCCUAAAUUUAUUUCUCUCAGUACCUGUCCUGCAGAAACACAGAAGCUGGAGGCUGGAGAAGUGAGCACAACCGUUUCUUUAACCAGCUCAUCAUCCUUGAUUUUUUUCAUGCAGGUCCUUGGAUAUUUGUGUUAUGGCAAAUACUGGUGAAUCUCUCUGAAUUUGCAUUUGACUCACAGCACUGGGCUGAACCCUGAGCACGUUGUUCCCCUGUUUCCAGGGAAUCUUCAGAGGGCCUGGCUAAAUUCAUGAUUCAUGUGUUUAAACCACAAGCUCCUUGGAAAUAGAUUGAGGAUAUUAAAAUAGAUAAUGUAACCAGUUAAAACAACAACAACAAAAGCCUAGCAAACACCUGUGACCAGCAGUUGUAACUGAGUAUAUGUAAGUCCAGAAUUUAAAUAUACAAUUCAGUGACAGUCCUAUGUGUAAUUUCAGUGCUGAUGAAAGGACCUUCUAAGAUCUAUAUGCUACCUGGGAAAUAAUUGCUAGGCAUAGAUCAGUGAGACUUGUGCUAAGUAAUUAGAUUCUGAAAAAGCAGCCAUAUGAUUGUGCAUAAUGUUAUCCAAAUAUUAGUUGUGCUACAACCGGGUACUAUUAUAACAGCUCUUAACUCAUUCAUGCAAGUCUUAACCUACUACUUUUAGUGAAGUGUUUCUGUAAAAUAAUGGUCUUAAAUUACCAGUUGCCACUGCAUAAAACACUCUUGUGAUGGGAUCAGGUACGCAGCAAUGGCAGCAGCUGGGGCAGAGCUAACGGAGGCCCCAGCAUCCUCCCAGCUGUAGAAGCAGCUGGGUAGAGAGGGGCAGCCCUGUUCUGUGGGAAGAUGGGAGCCAUGGGAAGGAUAUCAGCAGGGAACAAGUAGGCUUCUGGCUACUUUUCCUGUGGCACCUGGGCUGGCUGCAGGAAGGGGAAGUUGGUCUGGGCUCUUGGCUGCCUGGGAGAUGGUGCAACCGUGGCAGGCUCACAGAAGUCAGAGUGGAUCACAAAUACUAAAUGCAUGUCAAGGGAGAUGCUGUCUUCUAUAAAUGUAGAGUGACAUGUCGAGUCACAGUCUGAGUGGUCCCACUGCUCGGUUGUCACCUCCAGUGAAGGAGUG